rnacentral:tRNA from 1 species
UGAGCUAUGGUGUAAUGGCAACACAGCAGAUUUUGGUUCUGUUAUUCCAAGUUCGAGUCUUGGUAGCUCAACCG